UAAACACAGAACACUACGUGGAGCGAG
rnacentral:piRNA from 1 species